GCCGACUUAGCUCAGUUGGUAGAGCAACUGAUUUGUAAUCAGUAGGUCGCGGGUUCGACUCCUGCAGUCGGCA
rnacentral:tRNA from 2 species